rnacentral:rRNA from 1 species
GACGAACGCUGGCGGCGUGCCUAAUACAUGCAAGUCGAACGCAGUGGGGACGGGUGAGUAACACGUGGGUAACCUCCCAUCAGAGGGGAUAACCCUUGGAAACUGGUGCUAAACCGAUACUGCAUGAUCAAGCCGCGGUGCAUUAGCUAGUUGGUGGGGUAACGGCUCACCAAGGCCACGAGGCAUAGCCGACCUGAGAGGGUGAUCGGCCACACUGGGACUGAGACACGGCCCAGACUCCUACGGGAGGCAGCAGUAGGGAAUCUUCGGCAAUGGACGAAAGUCUGACCGAGCAACGCCGCGUGAGUGAAGAAGGUUUUCGGAUCGUAAAACUCUGUUGUUAGAGAAGCGGUAUCUAACCAGAAAGCCACGGCUAACUACGUGCCAGCAGCCGCGGUAAUAC